GGCUAGAAUCAUCUAUGAUC
rnacentral:snRNA from 1 species